CCCAGUGGGCACAGCUGAGUACCAGCACGGCCUGGGGCUCAGCAGCCAAGGAGCUCAGGGUAGGGACUUGACCAUGUGGAACUCUAAUUUGCACAGAUGACCUCUAAGAUUUACAAGAUGACCUCUAAGAUCCUUUCUAAUGUUAAUCAUAAAAUGAAUGAGCCAACCCCUCCAAGGGUGACCAGCUCCUGUGGGCUCCAAAGGCAAAUGACAAGCUAUGAGGUCACACACUACCCAUCUUGGAGCUGUGGAGUGCUCCCUCCGGGACGGACACCCUGCCUGGCCAAGCUCGGAGGACGGAAGUCAGUGUGCUGGAAGUCAUCUUCCUCAGG